GAGUUUGAUCGUGGCUCAGAUUGAACGCUGGCGGCAUGCCUUACACAUGCAAGUCGAACGGCAGCAUGAUCUAGCUUGCUAGAUUUGAUGGCGAGUGGCGAACGGGUGAGUAAUACAUCGGAACGUGCCCUGUAGUGGGGAUAACUAGUCGAAAGAUUAGCUAAUACCGCAUACGACCUGAGGGUGAAAGUGGGGGACCGCAAGGCCUCAUGCUAUAGGAGCGGCCGAUGUCUGAUUAGCUAGUUGGUGGGUAAAGGCCCACCAAGGCGACGAUCAGUAGCUGGUCUGAGAGGACGAUCGGCCACACUGGGAC
rnacentral:rRNA from 1 species